rnacentral:ncRNA from 2 species
UCGAUAUGACAUGUGGAUGUUCGUAUAUCCCCGAUAAUCGGAUCGGGGGUCUCUACCAGGAACCGUAAAUUCCUGACUACGACGGUGGUUUCGCAUACC